UACGUAGGGUGCGAGCGUUAAUCGGAAUUACUGGGCGUAAAGCGUGCGCAGGCGGUUUUGUAAGUCGGAUGUGAAAUCCCCGGGCUCAACCUGGGAAUGGCAUUCGGGACUGCAAGGCUGGAGUGCGGCAGAGGAGACUGGAAUUCCUGGUGUAGCAGUGAAAUGCGUAGAUAUCAGGAGGAAUACCGAUGGCGAAGGCAGGUCUCUGGGCUGACACUGACGCUCAUGCACGAAAGCGUGGGGAGCAAACAGG
rnacentral:rRNA from 1 species